GAUGAACGCUGGCGGCGUGCCUAAUACAUGCAAGUCGAGCGAACGGACGAGAAGCUUGCUUCUCUGAUGUUAGCGGCGGACGGGUGAGUAACACGUGGAUAACCUACCUAUAAGACUGGGAUAACUUCGGGAAACCGGCGCUAAUACGGGAUAAGAUUUUGAACCACAUGGUUGAAAGGUGAAAGACGGUCUUGCUGUCACUUCUAGAUGGUUCCGCGCUGCAUUAGCUAGUUGGGAAGGUAACGGGUUACCAAGGCGACGAGGCAUAGCCGAACUGAGAGGGGGAUCGGCCACACUGGAGCUGAGACAGGGUCCAGACUCCUAAGGGAGGCAGCAGUAGGGAAUGUUCCGCAAUGGGCGAAAGCCUGACGGAGCAACGCCGCGUGAGUGAUGAAGGUCUUCGGAUCGUAAAACUCUGUUAUGAGGGAAGAACAUAUGUGUAAGGAACUGUGCACAUCUUGACGGUACCUAAUCAGAAAGCCACGGCUAACUACGUG
rnacentral:rRNA from 1 species